rnacentral:rRNA from 1 species
GAUGAACGCUGGCGGCGUGCCUAAUACAUGCAAGUCGAGCGAAUGGAUUAAGAGCUUGCUCUUAUGAAGUUAGCGGCGGACGGGUGAGUAACACGUGGGUAACCUGCCCAUAAGACUGGGAUAACUCCGGGAAACCGGGGCUAAUACCGGAUAACAUUUUGAACCGCAUGGUUCGAAAUUGAAAAGCGGCUUCGGCUGUCACUUAUGGAUGGACUCGCGUCGCAUUAGCUAGUUGGUGAGGUAACGGCUCACCAAGGCAACGAUGCGUAGCCGACCUGAGAGGGUGAUCGGCCACACUGGGACUGAGACACGGCCCAGACUCCUACGGGAGGCAGCAGUAGGGAAUCUUCCGCAAUGGACGAAAGUCUGACGGAGCAACGCCGCGUGAGUGAUGAAGGCUUUCGGGUCGUAAAACUCUGUUGUUAGGGAAGAACAAGUGCUAGUUGAAUAAGCUGGCACCUUGACGGUACCUAACCAGAAAGCCACGGCUAACUACGUGCCAGCAGCCGCCGUAA